CUGUUUUAUUACGGUUCAUAUAUUUACAAUUUAAAUUGAGUGACUUUAGUUUCUAUCAUCACAUUAUUUUUGGAGUUUCAAGUUACAGUAAAAAAUAUAGAACGGCUGGGAGGCUCAGUCAGUUAAGCAUCUGCCUUCAGCUCAGGUCCUGAUCCCAGGGUCCUGGGAUGAGUCCCACAUCAGGCUCCUUGCUCAGCUGGGACCCUGCUUCCCCCUCUGCCUGCCACUCCCCCUGCUUGUGUGCUCUCUGACAAAUAAAUAAAAUCUUUAAAAAUGUAUAUAUAAUCUGUACUCAGGUUAUAAAUGAGUCUCUUAGUAAGAUCGAACCUUUUAAAUUGGGCUUCUAAAAUUGAAACACUCUUAUAUACAGGAGCUUUUUAUAUUCUUUUAAUUAAAUAUAUCCUUCUAUAUAAUAGCAUUACAUCAUAUUCCUGUUGUUUGUUUUACGAAAAUAAGCUUCACCCUUUGUUUUUGUUGGACACUGAAUUAUUGGCUGCCCAUGCCCCUGAGCAACAGAACUUAGUUUGAGAGGUACAGGAUGGGGACCGAUAUUUCUGUCCACAAAGAAGUACUAUCUUUGCCCUGGUAGUGGUAUUUUUCAGUCUGUUUAUUGAGUGUCUUCUGGGUACAAGUUCUAAGAGCUACUUUACCUUAAUGUUAAUGAUACAGUAACCUAUAUGGGGCAGGCAAGCAGUUAAGGGAGCUGAGACUCAGGUGAGUGGCAGCUCCCCAGUUGGAGAGCAAGAAUCAUAACCCUUUUCUCUGCUCCCUAGUUCCAGGGUCCUUUCAGGCAUGUACGGCUCUUGAGAAUGGUUGCAUGCAGUCCACAAAACUAGAGUGGCCCCUUGAAAAAGUUAAGAUAUUAAUGAAAAAAAAAAAGAAGAAGAAGUAGUUAAGAUACUAAAAAGUAUCCUCAAUCCUGUGUUUCAGUAGGGUGUUGAAGGUAUGAGUGUUUGAGGACAGAAGAGAGACUGUUUGUUUGGCACUGACUGUGGGUAGAUCAGAACUAGUUAUAGUCGUAGAGUGAUUGUAACUAUCAUCCAAGGAGAUUGCUGGAGAAAUGUUACUUUUCACUUAAAAAGGAAGUUACUACAAAAAAUAAAAAUAAAAAAAGGAAAAGUUACUAUUUGGAUUUCACUUGACUAGAAGGUAACUGGUACCAGAGGAAUGUCUUUGGUGUAAAUAUAAAAAGCUUUGGAAAUUAUGCCUCUUUUAAUUCCCUGAAUGAGGAAUGGCAAGGUCUGUUUCAGAGCCAGAAGCCCCGAAUUCUUCUCCACAGCUCACUUUUAAGUAUCUAAGUGAGUCUCUUGAUUUUUUUUUUUUUAGUGAACUGUUUGUCCAGAUAAUUCCUUUCUGAGAUUUAAUUUCUGGGGGCAUAUUGGAAAUGCUUUUUAAUACCUGUAAGUUCAGAGGGAUUUAUUUAAACUAAUGUUCACAGUAGAAUUACUUCAGAUGGCAGUUUUCUUUGUGCUGAAAUUCUGUUGAAGGGGAAAUUCUGCAGAGGAACACAGUUCCAGGUUUUUUUUAAGGGAAAUUGAUUUAAUUCUACUCUUUACUACCUUGAAACUUAAUCUAGCUAUUGCUUCUAAGACAAGUUUGAUUAUUAAAGUAGUCAGGAAAAUUAUCAGAGGCCCAUGGAUUCAAUUACUAUUUAGCAUAAACCUGAUGUGAAUCAUAGUAUUUCUUUCACAAGCAAAGGUUCCUGUGGAGUUGAAAGUGCAACAUAACACAAAUAUAAUUAAAUCACGACUAACCAAAAUUUAACUAAUCAGAGCCUCAGUUAUCUGGAAACAUUUCUAUAGUCCCAUGUGUGGAAGAAAUGAAAGCAAAUUAUAAGAAAACAAGCUAAUAUUAGGUUUCAUUUUGUGAGACUCUAGCAAAUAUCUCGAGUGUAACCUGAGGUCAGCAUAAAAGUGUCGAUUUUCUGUAACUUUAACCCCACUAUACUGUCAUAGAUUAAUUUGUUGUCAUGAUAAGACCUGAAACCAUCAGGAGUGUUUAUUAUGUUAAUCGGAAUAUUCUUGAGCAGAACAGCACACUAAUACAUUUUAUUUUAGGAAGAUUUUCAACAAGGAGUUAAAACAAAGGUUUCCUUAGAACCAAGGUUGUCCAGUUUCCUGGUUAAUUGAGACACUGAAUCAUCUUCUAAGAGGCCAGAUAGUUUCUGGUAUUGCUAAUUUGAAAUUCAAGAGCACAUCAGUUUGCUUUUACUGUGGGUGUAUUAGAAACAGUCUACAAGAGAAGCUUGGGGAAGGUAUUUAAAGGAACAGCUGUAUCGGGGAGAAGUGACAAGGCAGCAUAAAGUGAUUCCGGGAGUGUGAAGGCCUCUCUCGAGUAUGUGUUUUGUCUACCUAGUCUUAAAUGUGGAAAAUAGUCUUGUCAGGUCUGCAAGCUAAUGAGUUGUUAAGGGAUUUGUUCUUUAAACAAAAAGUUAAUUAGUGUCUGAGUGUGUAUACAGGUAAUUAUACCUGAUUCUGUAACUGCCCUUCUGUUGUUUUCUUGUGGGAAAUACCACUAAGACACCUGACCCAUUUUGCUCACUGCACCUUCAGAUCCAGCUUCUUUCACUCAAAUCACUUUUUAGAGUUGAUGGAAAAUUGAACUAUAAUUUUUUCUAGUUCUAAUUGUUUCAUUUGAUCUCAUUUUUUAGUUUAUUUUAUACACUAUAAGUAUAUUAUUUAUUUAUACACCUUUCCCCCCGAAGGGAAAGGUAAAAUCUUACAGAGAAAAUGCUUACACUAGCCAAGGGCUUAGGUUUGGUGAUUCUGUUUUUCGGAAGCAGUAUAUUUCUAUACUGAUCAAGGGCCUUUGGGCAGCCAGGAGACCCUUAUAGGGCUGCAGUGAGCAGGUUGGGAAGACUGCAGAUUCUGUAGUUAAUUAAGCAAAAGUGUAGUUCCUAACACCUUAUUUCUGACUUAUAUUGAGGAAACAGGAGUCCCAGAGAAGUUAAGAAACUUGCUCAGGAAUCACAAAGGUUGUAAGUGACAUAGGCAGAAUUCAAAUCUUCGAAGCCCGUGUUCUUUCUACUAGGCUGCCACAAUAAAAUUACUUACUUCAUCAAUCCACAUUCUAGCGUGAGGCUGACCCGUACUACUCUGCGAUAAUGGAAAUGCUCUGUAUCAGUCCCAUCCCAAAGAGCAGCUACAUGUGACUGUUGAGCACUCAGAGUGUGGCUAGUGCAACCAAGAAAUUUUCUUUUCUUUUUUAGUUUAUUUAAUUUAAUUAGUUUGCAUUUUAAGUAGCCAUAUGUGGCUAGUGGCUACCAUAUUGGACAACAGAAGUCUAUAAAGCAUGAACCCCUGCUCACACACUCCCUUUUGUUGUGCCAUACCUGAAUUGAACAAGCACUAGGGUAGGGGAGCUUUGGAUUCGAUUUUUAGGCCUCUCAUUUAGUCAUUCUUUUUUAAAAUUUAUAAAUGAUUUCUAGAUACGAAAGCUGCAGAAGAUAUCCCUGAGGGGGGCUUUGCCAUGGUAACACUCUUUUGGCAUGCAAUUUAAUUUUCAGAAAAGAAUUCUAUUCUAGGCUUUGCCAUUUUCGGCCUGUAACCUUGGAUAAAUCACGUAAACCACUGAUCUGACCUACUUAUCUUAAAAGGGCAUCAUAUACAUGAAGGUAUUUUGUCAGGCACUUACAAAUAUAAAAUAUUACAGACUGUGUCUCCAUCGUGGACCCAAGCCAAAUUAUCUUGGUAGUGAGAGAGUCAUGAGGAUUUUAAUAUUAUCCAGGUUCUCUUAUAACACAGGCUCAUAGUGUCCUUCUUCCUGUCCCUUCUGACUAGCACCAUGACAAGCUGGAGACUCUGUUUAUCUUUAUAGAUACUAUUUUCAGAUGUUAUAGGGGCCAUUACUGGGCAGCCUGAGGUAUGAUAAGUUGAAAAUAUAUACAUGUUAAAAAUGAGAAAUCUUACAGUGUACAGAUUUUUUUUAAACUCUUAACAGCAGCAGUUCUGAUCAGUGAGUGGGUCAUGGUGUUUAUUUUGAGCAUAUACCGGAAUACGUAGCACCCUCCCAGCUAAAACUUUGUAUUAAUGUAAUGAUGUUUAAUUUGUGGACACCUCUCCCUAAAAAACAUUGAUGAUAGUUUUAAUUUUAUCUUUGAUUUGUUGAAGAAGCAGUUUUUUUGCUGUUUAAACAUAGGCAUUACUAUCAAUCUGCUGAUCUUCUGUUUCCAUUUGUAAAGAAAAUCCAUUCUACUCACUGCCUUAUAAAAUCAUUCUUGGGAGACUGUGAACUUCUAGGACUUCUAUGGCAUAGGCACAUCAAAGAAAAUAAUCCUUCAACUCCUGUCCAGCAAUGUCAUGGCAGGAAAUCUUUCUCCUGCGAACAUUUAGAAAUGCUGUAUAAAAUACUAAACGCAUAGCUUAGCCAAAAAGAGAACAGGGGACAUUUCAGUGGGCCAACAUCAGAGUGAAGGCUGAAAGUGGAAGUGAGAAGCUUAUAAACCAGCGCUGGCUGCCAGCUGUCAGGGGUUCUUAGGUAUGGAGCUCUCCUUCAUAUAAGGGUCCCAUGACAAUUACAUGGAGUCAGGAGACAGGGCCUUGAGCUCUCACGGCUGGAGAGGUUGAGCUGAGACACCCAUACAUACAUACAGCCAGGUCCCCUAAUGAGCUCCAUAUGAAUUAAUUAGAAAAAUAUUAGCCCACCAACCGAGGAGAAGGACAAGGCAAGCUUAUCUAUCUCAGUGUGGGCUCUGGGUAACAGGGAAAGUGUUUCCCCUGAAUAAUUGUAACCAUGAGCUUUCUCAUACGGAUUUGGAGUUCAGGUUGUACCAUUCACUGGGUAAAAUUUCUUACGCAGGCCAAAAUAUUAACAUAAAGAUUGCUUCUCAGCCGGUGAGUACUCUAGGACACCUGGCAAAAGCAAAUGCAAAAUCCUUCUGGAGAGACACCCAGAUUGCCCAGGGAUCUCAUCGACAAGCCUCAUGGUCCAAAAUUACCAAAUAUACAAGGAAAUAAUUCACACUUAGUGAAAGGUAGAAUACAACAAACAGCAGGAUUAGCCAGCCCUUCCCCAAAAUUUUAGUUAAUGAAAUGAUCAGAUAGAGACUUUAAUGGAUGUAAAUGUCAGGUGUAGAUUAUUUAAAAAGUGACAGAUUUGAAAAAUAACAAAGUUUUGAAUUUCUAGAAAUUAAAAUUUUAGUUAUUAUUGAAAUAAACUCUCUACUGGACUCAGCAGUUAAUUUGUAACAACAGAAAGGAUUGGGGAACUGGAAGAGACGUCUGAGGGAAUUACCCAGAAUUCAUCCAAGAAAGGAAAGGAAAUGGAAAAUAUGGCCAGGAGGAUAGAAUUGGAAAGUCUAACACAUAACAGAGAAGAAUUUCAGAAAGAUAAAAUAGAUUUGAGAGAGACUAUUUGAAGAGAUUAUAACUAAGAAUUUUCUAGAAUAUUCAAAAGUCAUAAAUCUCAGAUAUAGGCAGUAGAAUAAGACACCAGGCAUAAUAAGUAGAAAGAAAUAACACAAAGAGACAGAAGCAACCAAAGGCUACUUGAGAUUGAUUAGUUACAAAGAGCACCAGUUAGACUGCCAGCAUAUUUAGUUGCAGCUACUGAGUUUGGAAGACAAAGGAAUAAGAGUACUGAGGAAAAAACAACCCAUACUUUAGUAAUUCAGGAGAACAAAAUAAAGACAUUUUUCAACAAACACAGAGCUUUUGCCUUUGGCGGCCCCUUGCUGUAGUGCUUCUGAAGCAGCACUGCCUAGUACAGUAGCCACUAGGCACAUGUGGCUGUUGAGCUCUUGAAAUGCUCCCAAAGCAACUGAAUUCUUAAUUGUAUUUAAUUUGGCUCAGAAAUAAGAAAAUUGUGGGGUGGGGCGCCUGGGGGACUCAGAUGGUUAAGCAUCUGCCUUCAGCUCAGGUCGUGAUGCCAGGGUCCUGGGCUCGAGUCCCGCGUCGGGUUCCUGGCUCUGUGGGGAGCCUGCUUCUCCCUCUCCCUCUCCCUCUCCCCCUGCUCAUACUCUCUAUCUCUGUGUCUCAAAUGAAUAAAUAAAAUCUUUAAAAAAUAAAAAUUGUGGGGUGCCUGGGUGGCUCAGUCGGUUAAGCAGCCGACUUGAUCUCAGCUCGGGUCUUGAUCUCAGGGUUCUGAGUUCAAGCUCCGCAUUGGACUCCACACUGGGCAUGGAGGCUCCUUAAAGGAAAAAAAGAAGAAAAUUGAGCACAGAAGAAAGAAAUGAACUUUACAAACUAAUGAACAAAGUAAAGGAAGUAAAUUAAAAUAAGCAUGGACUAUAUAAGACAGUGAAAUGACUAGUUAAAAAGGUGAAGCAAAAAUACUAGACACCAACAGCAUCAGGUAAAAGCUCUUCAGACCUAAAGCAUCCCACAACUGGGGUGAGAAGAGAUAAAUUGAUUAACCAUAGAUUUAAAUCAAUCUGUGUGUGUUCAAAUGAUUCAGGAUAACCACUGCAAAACAAACAUAGGGGUCUUUUAAACCAGUACAAACCAGGGUGGGGAAAAAACUGAAUGAACACCACGGGAAAUAGAAAGCCCAACAUAAAAUGGCAGGAAUAAAGAAGUCAAUAACUAGAACAAAAUGUUAAGUGUACUAAAAUGGCCAGUUAAAAGAGAUUCUGGGACUGGAUGAAGAUACAGAAUUUGUGGAUAAUGUUUUCAAAAAACUUAAAACUCAAAAACCUGGAAAGAUUGAAAGUAAAGAGAUAGAAUGCAGCGUGUCAGGCAACUGUUAACCAAACAAGGCUGCCAUAGCUGUUAGUCACACGUGAUAGAUUUCAGGUGAAAGACAUCGGGGUGAAAGUUGCCGCAUAAUGGUAAGAGGAAUGAAUUACCUAGAAGAUAAAAUUAUUCCAAACUAGUACAUACCUAGUAUAUGUCAGAAAUACAUAUCAGAAGUUAAAAACUCCAAUCAUCAUGGGAGAUUUUAACAGGCCACCUCAGUAAGUGACAGAUAAAGCAGAUGAUUAUGAGAUAUUUAAACAGUAUAGUUAAAUUUGGUCUAAUGAGCAUAUAAAGAGCCCUGCUUCCAGCAGUUUGAGAAUUUGCAUUUUUUUCCAAAUACAUACUAGAAUUUUAUAAAAAUUACCAUAUGUAGGCCUCCGAGCCCAAGAAGUUAAGAAAAAAGAGAAAUCUGGGUUAAGUUGAAGGAUAAUACAGAUGAGUAGCAAUUAACUGCAGAACAUAGAAAUUGCAGUAGAACAACAGAACACAAUCAACGACAAAAACUCCCAUAUGGCCUGAUUGAUCCAACAACAACAAAAGGGGAGGAGCAUAAUGGGCAAUAUUAGGAAUAAUGUAUAUAUUUUUUAUGUAUUGCAACUAAAUAUAGGGAAUACACAUUUUUUAAAAACAAAUCACUAUGAAGAACUUUUUGCCUAUACAUUUAAAACUUAGAUUAUAUAUACAGUUUCCGAGGAAAAAAACAUAGUAUAACAAAACUUCUCCAGGAAUAAAUAUAUCUGAAUACACUCACAAACAAUAAAAUGUUGGGUCAGUAGUUUAAAAUCUUUCCCAUCACAUCUAAAGAAAAUGCUAAGAGGAAUGUCCUAUUCAGAAAAUGGUAUCAGGACAGUUAUUCUCCAUAUAGAGACUGGCCUCUGAAAAAGCAGAUGUAGGAUCUCUACAUUUCUGACUUUAUCACAGGACACUUAUCUCCACAGGGACUUGUGCAGUGAGGAGAUCAUGCUUCUGUUAUCCACUAUUCAUUCUUUGAGCAAGCAUUUGACAAGCACCUGCUACAAGCAACGUACCUUACUAAGUAUGUUUCUCCUAGAAGGUGCUUUCCCUUUGAUUUCUACUUCUGUGGGCACCUCGUUAUGACUUAAUUCUAAAAUGCCCCAAGAAUAUUCUGUAAAGGGUUUUUUUUUUGUUUUUUUUGGGGUGGGCAGCAAAGCAAAGUUGAUUGAGCACCGUGUAAAGUGUUAGUACAAAGCUCCCAAAGAGGGUGGGGACCUGAGAGGGUUGCUUCUGUAAAGGGUUCUUUUUUUAAAAAAAAAAAAGAUUUUAUUUAUUUAUUUGACAGAGAGAGACACAGUGAGAGAGAGGGAACACAAGCAGGGGGAGUGGGAGAGGGAGAAGCAGGCUUCCUGCCGAGCAGGGAGCCCGAUGUGGGGCUCGAUCCCAGGACCCUGGGAUCAUGACCUCAGCCGAAGGCAGACGCUUAAUGACUGAGCUACCUAGGCGCCCCUCUGUAAAGGGUUCUGAGCAGGUUUUUUUAAUCCAAAAUUUGGUACAUGAAUCAAAAAAGUAAAAGCAAGCAAAACUGGUUUUUCUCUUUGUUACAGGUAGGCAGUCUACAUUGUAACUUGGUUAAUUGAAAAUAUUAAAGUAAAGGUUUGUGGUCCCAUUAAGCUCUCUAAAGUAAAUUCUGGCAUUUAAUGAUUUCCUUUUGCAAAAACUAUUUCAGUAUUGUCUUUUACAUUGUUUUUAAACAAACAGUCUGAUUAACUCAGACAUACAUCUUAUUCAGUGAUAUUUAUUGAGCAUCUGUCAUUUACCAAGUACUCUACCAAGCACUCUACCAUUUUGAUAAAACUGUUGUGUACUUCUAAAGAAUUUUAGUUAUCUCUUUAGUCCUGAGGUUCUGUUGUAUUUUCUUAGAGAAUUAUAAGCAGAAGUCAUUAAAUUAUGUUAGAACUUUUAGUGUCAGAACUCUACCUUUCUGGUAAGGGUGAAGAUUCUUAAUGAAAUAUGUUACUAUAUUAAUCCCAGUGCUAUGAAUAUUUAUUCCUAAAACAGCUCUGUUAAUUAAUGAUAAAAAUUAUUUAAGAUUUGUGAUUAGAAAAUUAUCAGCUGUAAAUUUGAAUGAAUGAUUAGGCCAGUACUAGUGAAAAUCUGAUCCACCAGAGAGACUGGGUGGUAUUUACAUUGUUGGUUUUUUUUCUUCUCCUGAUCAUUUUUAGCAGCAACACUGAUCCAUUAAUUAGAAGGAGUAUACAGUCUAGAUUUUCUUUUCUCAGACCUAACUUUAUUCCCUCCUUAUACCAAUGUGUGAUUGUGGUUUUAGCCAAAAAAAUAACAUUAUUUUACUUUAUGUGCAUGUUAGACUUGGCAUUUUUUUUUUUUUUUUUUUUUUUUUUUACUGAAAGAAACAAGGACAAUUGUUAUGUUUCCUCCAUCCAGCACCUUAAGGCAUAGAUCUCCCAAUGAAUACCACUUUUCAUAUUUUCAAAUGUUUUCUAUAAUCCCAAAGUACUUUUGACAAAAUGAACAAAGUAUGUUGCCCUAUAACCUGCUUAACAACAACAAAUCACUGUAACAAGCAAUUGAAAAUAAAAAUAUAAUUACUAUUUAAUAUUUUUAAGAACUUACCUCCAAAAGCCUGUGAGAAGUACCCCUUUGUUUCCGCUUCACUUACAACUUUUCCUUUAUAUCGGGCAUCAGUCUCUUGAUAGAGAACAUUUUUAAUUAAAAUUAGAUCACUAGAAAAGGCAGGGUGAUUCAUUUCCAUAGUGUUGAAAAUGCAGCUGCCAAAUGGAAAGUUUUAGUAGAAGAAAUACUGUAGUUUUUUUUGUCUCUGCUUGCCCUUUCUCAGUUCAAGGGCAAGACUCAGAACAGUAGAGAUGGUAGGUGGCUAUUGGCAUUUGCACAAAUCUUAAGACUUAAAGCACAGUGCAGGAAAUGUCCUUGCAAGAGAAGUUUACAAUUUGUCAAGUCAAAAAAUGUGACUUCUACCUCCAAACUAAAAGAGGAAUUUAUAAACAAUUUUAAAAGCUCCACAGUCCAUUCUCUGUGAUCUUUGAAUUCAGCUCGGUGCUUCUUGACCAGCCUGGAGAAAGACAGUCUUCCACCAUCAGCAGCAGCACCACUAUGGUUGGUGUGACUCUCUUAUCAGGGAAGGAGAAAGGAUCUGUGGCAACUGCAUUAAUCUGGCCUUCUGGACAAAGAUAAGGAAAGAGCCUUGCUGUUGCCACGUUAGUAGACUGAAGAGGUAAAAACACCAUGAAAACAAAGAGUGACUUAGACUCCCGGACUGACCUGGUGGUGCUGUCAGGUCACAAGUUUCAAAUGUCUGUAUGGCUUUCUAUCUAUCGUAGGCCACUGUUGAGUCUUCUAGGAGAGCCUCUAGUGGAGCCUCUACCCAGGUACCUUCUGGUUAACUUUGUUCCCAAGUCCAUGAACAUUUCCAGAUUUCCAAAGGAGAUUCUUUCCAGUGUGUCUCCCUAAGUACUGGCUUUUUUCCCCCCUAAAAUAGUGUUGUCAGGUAAAAAGCAGUUUUAACUUUUUUGUGCGUAUGUGGUGUUAUCCUAAUUAUGAAUGUUUUAAAAGUUAACAGUGUAUGCACCAUUUAUCUCUUCUAAAUAAUUAAUGUUUUCUCUUUUGAGAACUCACAAAGGAGAGCAACCAUUACUUUAUAGCUAAGUGGCAGAAAUGUGUUCUUAGUAUGUAUGUAUAUAGGUUUUCAUCUUGUGUUUACAAAGUGAAGUUCACUGUGGAGGUAAAAAUUAAAACAGAGUAGCCACUAGUCCAAGAAGAUUUGAAGCUACUCUGGAGUGGGCGGAAGAAACCUUAAGACUGGGCCCUUGGGGUUCAAUCCCCUGGAGGAUCCAGGCAGCUCUGAGCUACUUAGAGUCACUACUUCAGGCAUGCACAGCAUUUUUUUUUUUUUUUAAAUUAAAAGAAAGGCAUGGGAUAAGCAUUUGCUACCAACUUUUAAAAGUAAGGAUAUUUUACACACCCACACACCCACGCACACACCCACGGAUUUCUAGUUUUCCUUCUUGUGAAGGCCACACAGCACCUGCAUCCCUGCAAGCACUGGGAGUCAGCAGGAGCUCUGGGUGGGGCAUGUGCACCACAGCCUCUCAGAUCCCACUACACCCUGGUUUGGGUGAUGCUCGUGGACAUUUGCCUUAUAGCCCUGGUUUGGAUGAUCGUUUACUAAAAUGGUAGAAAAAUAUGUAGCAGAGAAGUUAAUUAGGGAAAGGAGAGAAAAGAAGGUCCCCCUUUUCCUACACCACUAUCUGAACUAUUUCCCAAAGCGCUACGUGUAGAUUUUGGGGAGCCCACAAGAUUCCGUGGAGGCCAGGGACCAUGCUUCCCACCCUUUAUUGUCCCUUAUGAUACAUAAAAAUGAUCAUUUCUGUGUGGGACGCUGGGAUGGAUAGACCACUGGGGAUGGACAGGUCCAACAUUUGGCAUACCCAUAAUCACUUGCAGGACACACCUGGGAGAGGCUCUGCCAUAAGGAGUGGUGAGUACUGUGUGGCAGUCAUGGCAACCAGCCCUAGCAGCACACGUAAAACCCCGGUGUGACUCUCUGUUUUAUUUGGGGUGCCCAUUAUUUAGGAAUAGAAAGUUUGUCAUUAGGAAUGAACAGUUGUGAUAUUCUUGGGUUUAUUUUCGUAAUUUCCCUCCAAAAAUUCAAUGAUCAUUUCAUGUGUCUGAAUCCUAUACUAAAACUACAGUGUUAAAAGGGACUGUGGAAGCGGUAUUGCCGGUAAAUAGUUUCAGACUUGAUUUAAUUUAGAGAAGGGUAAAGUUUUAAAAUAAUAAACAGGCGAGCUUGCAGAAUAGCAGUUUAAAAUGUCCUGGCCUGUGUCUUUUAAUCAGUGUUCAAUAAAUAGACAUUGCAAUUUAAAUUUUAGAAAGUGUACUCUUUCUCUACCAUGUUAGUGUUCAUUGGUGUUUUAAGCUGUGUGUUUUGGCCAGAAUAGAUGUGCUGCUGAAGUGACUGAAUCACAUUUACCAGCCAUUUGUGCAGAUUCGUGGAGUUUCCUUGCCUGCCUGUUUGCCACCUACCAUAAUCUCCUAUCAGAAUCCUAGGUCGGGCAGGCUUUGGCUCCAUACCCUUUUUCCUGUAUGUGUGUGUUCUACUUUCCACUCCAGAGCCUUUUUCUUCUUUCUCUUUCCAAACCUUUCAGUGUUGACGUGGGGCCAUCAGGCUUAUUCUUGUCUUAAAGGAAAUGAUCUGUCCAGGCAGGGGCAUUUGCUUUUUCACUAGCCAGGGCAGGUGUUUAUAUAAUCUAUUCCAUUUUUACAUUACUUUUAUAAUCAGAAGGAUUUUCCCUAUGUCUAGAAUAAAUGUUUUUGGCUGUAUUCAAAGCACAUUUUCUUGUUUUUCUUUCCCGGUGUAGGGCAUUUUUGUCAGUCUCAUCUUUAGAAAUUUUAUAACUCUUAACAUCAUUGCCAAAAAGCUUAUAUCAAAGCCCCUUUUCUGCUUGGCACCAUACUGAGAAAAUCUCCAACCUCCUCAAAUCCUUUUAGAAAGUAGGUCAGAUCUAAAUAAUAAAUGAAUCAAAAAGACAACAUGUGCAUGAGAGUGAUUCCCAGCUCUGUUUUUGUGACAUUUCACAGCAUCUCAAAAAGUCUCAAGGGAUUUUACAAAGGCUCCAAAUUAAUUUGGGUUUUCUUGAUCUUCUGUGUGCCAUACACCAUUCCAGAUGAGAAGCAGCGUGAGGUGUAACAUCAAAUCAUAUUAGGCUGCUAGAUCUUCAAACAGGGCUCUGGGGAAAUGGAAAACUCUUGCCCCCCAGCUUUUUAAAAAUUCUCAAUAUUAAAUGACCUAAUACCUUUAAUCUUUGUCAGUCUCGUUUUUCACACUUUCAAAAGAUGCCAUCAUUUAAAAAGCAAAGGAAACAUUCAAUUUUGGAUAUUCUUUUCUGAAUUUUUGUACUUUUCAUGGAAGUACAACCUUAAGGUAAUCAAAUGCCCUACCACACCACCUAACUCUUCAGUGACUUGCCUGUACAGCACGACUUACUUGGGACAGCUGUUAACAGCCACACUAUGUGGUGGGGGUCCAAUAACUAAACAGUUUGCUUUCAUCUUGAGAGAAGUCAUUUACAAAUCAGGAUGCCAUCAUUAUGUGCACAAUAAUACUGUAUUGUCAAAUCCUUAAAUCCUCUGUGCUAUAGUUAAUAAAGGAAAAUUAUUUCAGGAUGUUUCAGCAAAUGAAUGUGUUGGGCCAUAGAGUGGAAGUUCUCUUGAGGGAAGAAUACUUGGCUUUGGCUUGAAGACAGGUCCUCCGUGAUCUUAGCCAUCUGGGAACUUGUCUGUCUUUCCUCACUGGUGACAGUGACAGGCUUAGGGGCAGCUCCCAGGGCCUCCUUGCCAGUUGCAUGCACUGAGCAUUUGAUAUGUUGGCAGACAGAGCUGAUUCUUGGAUGCGUGUCUGAACCUCUACAGGUCUGCUUUUGGCAGAAUCGAGUGUGACUCUUAUCCUUUACCCAUUAAGCUAUCGUUAUGGCUUCCUUAUCUUUAUUUCUUCUGCAAACAUGCCUUUGUAAGUGUUUGGCUCUUUUUUGGCAGUUUAUUUGAUAAUGUACAAGAGUGGAAGGCAUGUGUCUUAUUUCUAAAUUAUAGUGUAUUUCUUCAAAGGAAAAGGGGAGGAUGUAAGUGAAGUAUUGUCAACAUAAGUUGACAGCUCUGUUGGGCUUAGUUUGAUUAUCAGUAUGAAAUUCUUUCUUAAGAGCUGGAUUUGCAACCCCCUAUGAAAACAUUACAAAAUGCCCCUGUUUAGCCCAGAAAAUGUUGUGUGUUCUUCUCUGAGCCUGAUGUACUUAGUGCGUAUCAUAAACUUUCUCAUCACUGUAAGUUGUAGAGGUGUGUCCAUUAGAGGAAAACUGGAAUCUUGUAUUCAGACUCUUGUGUUUUGUAUGUUCUUUAGCCAGAGUUGAAAGAGGCAUAUUUAAAGAAAGAUGGUUGUGUUUAAUUGCCAUAUAUGGAGUCUUUUCAGAGCCCAAUCUGAUUUACUCUAUGUAGGAGCAAUCCUUAGCUGAAAGGAAUAGGAACAUAACUAAGACCCUGCAGAAGAUAAUGUUUAAUAAAUAUCUCCUCCGUAACAAAGCCUCCUCUGUGUUCCUUGUCAAAGGGCUGUCAAAGCUAAAUUCAGUCUAUUUACUUAUACCAUGUAAGAUAUUCCAAAGUUACUUGUUUCUCAUUAGACAUUGAUUCUGUUUGAAAUGUUGGUGGUGUUUUGAAGUUCUGUGAAUGGAAGAGGGGCUGUGAACCUGGGUCCAAACAUGGAAAACUCUUCACAGCAGGCUGAAUGACCACUCAGAAAGCAGAAGCCAGCCUGGGUGCCUGGUGGUAGUAUGCACAGUCACCUGCAGGACACAUAACCAGACGUGGAACCCAACAGUCAAGGACAGUUUUAGUGAAACCGGAGGGUUUCUCCACCAGGCAAGUCCCCUUAUGAAUAGGGUAGGAAAAAAAAUUCACGUUCAUCAUCUUCGUUCAUAAAAUGAAGCUAUUCACUCACUCUGUAUAUCGAUGCUUUCACUCCCUCUACAAUGACAAUUGAAAAAAUCCAGUUAAACUUUUAUUUCCAUCAAAAAGGGAACUUUAAAGUUGUGAUUGGCCCUGAAGUUUUUUGUAGAGUAAAAUGACCUUAAUUCAGAGUGAAACAAAAUAUUUGCCAUUAAAAUAGCUUUUAUUGUACACUGAAAACUUUAAGACAUAAUGAAAGAAACUGAAGAAAACACAAAUAAAUGAAAAAAUAUUCUAUGCUCCUGGAUUGGAAGAAUUAAUACUGGUAAAAUGUUGUACUACCUAAAGCAAUCUACAAAUUGAGUACAGUUUGUAUCAAAAUUGCCAUGACAUUUUUCACAGAAAUAGAACAAACAGUCCUAAAAUUUGUAUGGAACCACAAAAGAGCCCCUCAAAGCAUACUUGAGAAAGGAAAGAAAGCUAGAGGUAUCACAAUCUCAGAUCUCAAGAUAUACUACAGAGCUUUAGUAGCCAAAACAGUAUGGUUACUGGCACAAAAAUAGACACAUAGAUCAAUGGAACAGAAUAGAGUGCCAAGCAAUAAACUCACAGGUAUAUGGUCAAGUUAAUUUACAACAGGGGAGCCAAGAAUAUACCAUAGGGAAGAGACAGUCUCUUCAAUAAAUGAUGUUGGAGAAACUGGACAGCUACAUGCAAAAGAAUGAAAAUGGGCUACUAUCUUACAUCAUACAAAAAUAAAUUCAAAAUAGAUUAAAGACUUUAAUGUAAGACCUGAUACCAUGAAACUCCUAGAAGAAAACAUAGAUAGUGAGCUCCUGGACAUUGGUUUUGGCAGUGAUUUUUUGGAUUUGACACCAAAAGCAAAAGUAGCGAGAGCAAAAAUAAACAAGUGAGACUAUAUCAAACUAAAAAGCUUCUGCACAGCAGAGGAAGCCAUCAACAAAAUGGAAAGGCCCUACCAAAUGGGAGAUAAUGUUUGCAAGUCAUAUAUCUAAUAUGGGGCUAAUAUCCAAAUUAUAUAAAGAACUCUUACAAUUAAUAACAAAAGAACAAAUAAUCUGAUUUAAAGUGGGCAGAGGAUCUCAAUAGACAUUUUUCCAAAGAAGACAUACAGAUGGCCAACAGGUACAUGAAAAGAUGCUCAACAUCACUAAUAUCAGGGAAAUACAAAUUAAAACCACAGUGAGAUAUCACCUCAUAUAUGUUAGAAUGGCUGUUAUCAAAAAGACAAGAAAGAACAAGUGUUGGUGACAAUGUGGGGAAAAGUAAACCCUCAUGCACUGUUGCUGGGACUGCAAAUUGUUGCAUCAACUAUGGAAAACAGUAUGGAGGUUCCUCAAAAAAUUAAAAAUGGAACCGCCAUGUGAUCUGGCAAUUCUACUUUGGGGUAUUUAUCUGAAAAAAAAAAAUGAAAACACUAAUUUGAAAAGAUAUAUGCACCCCCAUGUUUAUUGUAGCAUUAUUUACAACAGCCAGAAUAUGUAUACACAAGAGUCCAUCAAUGGAUGAAUUGAUAAAGAAAAUGCAUAUAUACAGAAUGGAAUAUUAUGCAGCCACAAAAAGAAUGAAUUCUUAACCUUUUGCAAUAACAUGGAUGCACCUUGAAGCAUUAUGCCAAAUAAAAUAGAAAAAAAUAAAUGGGGGUGCUUGGGUGGCUCAGUCGGUUAAGCAUCUGCCUUUGGCUCGGGUCAUGAGCCCAGGGUCCUGGGAUUAAGCCCCACAUCGGGCUCCUUGCUCUGCAGGGAGCCCGCUUCUCCUUCUCCUACCUGCUUGUACUCUGUCACUAUCUCCCCUUCUCUCUCUCUCAAAUAAAUAAACAAAAUCUUUAAAAAGAAAAAGAUAAAUGCUUUAUGAUCUUACUUAUAUGUGGAAUCUUUUUUUUUUAGAUUUAUUUAUUUAUUUAUUUUUAGAGUGAGGGAGAGGGGGAGAGAAUCCUUAGCAGACUCGGCACUGAGCACGGAGCCCAACACGGGCCUCCAUCCCACAACCCUGAGAUGACAACCUGAGCCGAAACCAAGAGUUGGACACUUAACCAACUGUGCCACUCAGGUGCCCCAGUAUAUGUGGAAUCUUUAAGCAAAAAAACCCAAAAACAAACAAACAAAAAAAACAAGCUCAUGGAUAUGGAGAACAGAUUUAUGGUUACCUGAGUCAGGGGAGGGGAGGUAAAAUGGGUGAAGGGGAGUCAAAAGGUACAAAUUUCCAGUUACAGAAUGAGUAAGUCAUGGGGUGUGAUGUACAGCAUGGUCACUGUAGUUAAUAAUACUGUAUUGCAUAUUUGAAAGUAGCUAAGAGUGGAUCUUGAAAGUUCUCAUUACAAGAAAAAAAAAUUUUGUGACUGUGUAUGGUGAUGGGUGUUAACUGGACUUACUGUGGUGAUCAUUUUACAAUAUAUACAAAUAAUAAAUCAUUACAUCAUAUAUUUGAAACUAAUAAUGUUAUGUCAAUUAUACCUCAAUUUUAAAAAAGCUAACUGGCUUUCUCAGUUAAUGUAUAUUAAUAUAUCAAUACAUAUUAAUGUAUGUUGAUAGAGUUCAAAUAAUAGCUAUGAAAAGGAUCUUUAAGGUUUCUUGUCUUGUUUGUUUGUUUAUUUAUUUGAGAGAGCAUGAGUGGGGGGAAGCGGCAUAGGGAGAGGGACGAGGAGGCUCCCCGCCAAGCAGAGAGCACGAUGCAGGGCUUGAUCCCAUGACCCGAGUCAAAUGCAGAUGCUUAACCAACUGAGCCACACAGAUGCUCCUAUUUAAAGUUUCUUGUUCUAGCAUUAUAUUUCCUAUAUUCUAUUAUCCUUUUAUUGUAUAAUUUUUAAUUAUUUAUACUCUUACGUGUUACUUUAGUCUUCAAGCAUAAUUGAAGCUCAUUAACUUUUUGUUUCUAUAAAAAAUUUUAUGUUAUUUCAUGUAAUGAGGCAGUGGCUGUGUGAUGUCAAGACUACUGGCCUAGGAAUGGGAAUACCUGAGUUCUAGUUAUAGUUCUAAGACUUUUUUUCUCUGAUAUUUAAUAAGCCACUUCGUCUUUUCAUGAAAAUGCAUAAUGAGACUUCUCAUCCAAACAAGAUGGCACAGACUUCUCUCUCCUUGCUCUCCUUGUUAAAGAUAACUAUAAAAACCCAGAAAUAACACAAGAGACAAUUAGGCGAACUCUGAAAGGUUCAGAAAGAAGAAGACCCAGAACUGGCAAAACAACCCGGCAGGAGGGUCUUAAAACCCUCUCACCCAACAGAAGAAGGGGACCCAGGUCUGAUAUUUGUUGACUUCCAAUCUAGCAACAAAAGGCAGAUCAGGUAGGCUCAUUCCCCUCCUGGAUGGAGUGGGAGUCCUUCCAAAAAUAUCAGGUGAGCCCAGAAAAACUGACAGGAAGGAUUAGAAGCCCUGCUGACAAUAAGUGGCCACCAAGGGAGUGCUUUCCCUCCCUUCCAUGAAGAGGAGGUGGAGGGGCAGAAGAGGAGUCAUCACCAACGUAGCCUGGGAAGCAGUUUGCAUCUGUGAAGGUUAGAGGCUCCCUUCUCCAGGAGAGGCACACCAGGUGGCCUAGCCAGGGGGAAUUCCUCCCAUCCUUUCAAGUGACACUGGCUGAGAGCCUACCAAAUUCUCACUUCAAGAAAUUUUAAAAAGAAGAGCAAAAUAAGCUCAAAGCCUACAGAAGAAAGAAUAAAAAUGAGAGCAGAAGAAAUCAAUGAUCUUGAAAAUAUGAAAACAGAAAAAUUAAUGAAGCAAAAAGCUAGGUUUUUUAAAUUUUAAAAAAGGUCAAUAAAAUUGAUAAACCUUUAGCAAUACUAACAAAAAUAAGACACAAAGUACCAGUAUCAGGAAUAGAAUAGUGGAUAUCACUGUAGAUUCUCCAGACAUUAAAAGGGUGAUAAGCAAGGGCGCCUGGGUGGCUCAGACGGUUAAACGUCUGCCUUCGGCUCAGGUCAUGAUCCCAGGGUUCUGGGAUCGAGUCCCGCAUCAGGCUCCCUGCUCCUUGGGAGCCUGCUUCUCCUUCUGCUUCUCUCUCUCUCUCUGUCUCUCAUGAAUAAAUAAAUAAAAUCUUUAAAAAAAAAAAAAAGGGUGAUAAGCUAAUGCUAUGAACAACUUUACACUCAAACUUGAUAACUUAGAAGAAAUGGACCUUGAAAGCCCAAACUACAAAACUCAACCAAGAUAAAAUAGAUGACAUGAAUAAUCCUUUAGCCUUUGAAGAAAUUAAAUUAAUAAUUUAAAAGAAAAAUCUCCAGGCUCAGAUGGUUUUACUGGAAAAUUCAAAGAAUUAACACUAAUUUUACAGUUUCUUCCAGAAGACAGACAAGGAGGGAACAGUUGUCAACUGAUUUUACAGAGCCAGUAUUACUCUGAUACCCAAACAGGACGAAGACAGUACAAAAAAAAGAAAACCACAAAGCAAUCUCUCUCAUGAGCUAGGUAAAAAAAAGUCCUCAACCAAAUAGUAGCAAACCCAACAAUAUAGAGAAAAGAAAUAUAAGUGAUGCCCAAAUGGGCUUUAUUCCAGAUCUGCAAAGCUGGUUCAAUAUUGAAAAUCAAUCAAUUUAAUCCAUCAUAUCAACAGACUAAAUAUGAAAUAGAAAUAUCACUAAUCAUAUUUUGUGUUUUUUGAUGCAGGAAAAAAAAUCAUAUGUCCAUUCUCAAGUUGGGAAUAGAAAUGAACUAUGUCAUCUUAAUAAAGAGCAUCUACAACAAACUUACAGCCAACGUUAUAUUUAUAGUGAAAGAGUGAAUGUUUUCCUUCUAAGUUUGAGACCAAGGCAAGGAUGUCCACAGUGUUGACUGUGACACAGCACUGAAAGUUCUCACCACUGCAGUAAGGCAAGAAAGAAAAAUAGGCUUACAUACUAGAAUAGAAAGGGGAGAGAAAGAAAUAAUAAAAAUGUUAUUCACAGAUAAGAGGACUGUCUAGUACAAAUUUCUAGAACUAAUAAAAUGAGUUUAGUAUAAGGUAUGAGGAUACAAGAUCAACACUCAAAAUUAUCAGUCACAAUUAAAAACUACCAUUUAGGGGUGCCUAGCUGGCUCGGUCAGAAGAGCAUGUGACUCUUGAUUUCGGAGUUGUGAGUUUGAGCCGCACAUCAAGUGUAGAGAUUAAUUUAAAAAAAAACAAACUUUUUUUUAAAAACCCUACCACUUACAAUCCUUACAAAGAAAAUUAAGUACCUAGGCAUAAAGUUAACAAAACAUGUACAAGGAUCUGUGUGCUGAAAAUUACAAAAUACUAAUGAAAGAAAUAAUAAUAAAAAAAAAACUAAAUGGAAAGCUAGACUGUACUUGUGUAUUGAAGGACUCCACAUGGUACAAAUUCACCUAUUUCCAAAUUGGCCCGUAGGCUUAAAGCACUUUCUAUCAAAAUACCAGCAAAGAUUUUUGUAGGCAUAAACAAACUUAUUCUAAAAUUUAUAUGGAAAGGCAUAGGCCCUAGAAGCUAAAACAAUUUGGAAAAGAUGCAUAAAGUGGGGAAAUUAUUCUACCCAAUAUUAAGGCCUAUUAUAUAGCAGCAGUAGUCAAGACAGUGUGGCAUUGGUGGAAGGAUAAACGCAUAAAUAAAUAGGAUAAAAUAAAUCUGGAAAUAGACCCACACAAAUAUGCCCAACUGCUAUUUGACAAAGGUACAAAAGAUGAGAGCAGGGGCCUCUGGGUGGCACAAUCAGUUGAGUGUCCAACUCCUGGUUUCAGCUCAGGUCCUGAUCUCAGGGUCGUGAGAUUGAGCCCCCCCCAGUCGGGCUCCAAGCUCAGCAGGGAGUCUGCUAAAGUUUCUCUCUCUCUAAAAUAAAUAAAUCUUUAAAAAAAAAAGAGAGAAGAGAGCAUUUUCAACAAUAAUGCUAGAACAAUUAGACCAAAAAAAAAAAAAAAAAAGACCUUAACCUAAACGUUUUUAUACAAAAACUAACUCAAAAUGGAUCACUGACUCAAAUGUAAAACUCUAAACCCUUAGGAAAGAUCAUAGGAGAAAAUUUUGGAACUAGGGGUCCAUCAGCAAAAAAUUCUUCAACUUGACACCAAAAGCAUGAUCCAUAAAAGGAAAAAUUGAUAAAUUGGACCUGUCAAAAUUAAAAACUUUUGCUCUGGAAGGACCUUAUUAAGAGGAUGAAAAACAAGCUACAGACAGGGAGAAAAUAUCUUCAGACCACAUAUCCAACAAAGGACUAGUAUCUUGAAUAUAUAAAGAAGUCAUAAAAUUCAGGCACCUGGGUGGCUCAGUUGGUUAAGCGACUGCCUUCGGCUCAGGUCAUCCUGGAGUCCCGGGGUCAAGUCCCACAUCGGGCUCCCUGCUCGGCAGGGAGUCUGCUUCUCCCUCUGACCCUCCUCCCUCUCAUGCUCUCUGUCUCUCAUUCUCGCUCUCAAAUAAAUAAAUAAAAUCUUAAAAAAAAAGAAAAAGAAAAAGAAAGUCAUAAAAUUCAACAGUAAAAAAAAAUCACUUAGGGGGCUCCUGGGUGGCACAGUCAGUUGGGCGUCAGACUCUUGGUUUCGACUCAAGUAGUGGUCUCAGGGUUGUGGAAUUGAGCCUCACAUCAGGCUCCACGCUCAGCUCAGGGUCUACUUCAGAUUCUCUCUCCCUCUCCUUCUGCCCCUCCCACUCGUGCUCUCUCGCUCCCUCUCUCAAGUAAAUAAAUAAAUAUUUUUUUUAAAAUCAAUUAGAAGGGACAAAAGACAUGAGCAGCCAUUUGACUAAAUAGGAUAUAUGGAUGACAGAGAAGCACAUGAAAAGAUGUUCAGUGUUUUUAGCUAUUAGGGAGAUAUAAACUCAAACCACCAUGAGAUGCCACUAUACACCUAUCAGAAUGGAGGAAGUUAAAAAUAGAACAACAAAUGCUGGCAAGGUUGCAGAGAAACUGGAUUGCUCAUACAUUGCUGGUAGGAAUAUAAACUAGCACAAACACUCUGGGGAACAGGUUAAGAGUUUCUUAUUAAACUGAACAUGCAACUACUAUGAUGCAGUAAUUGUACUUCGGGGCAUUUAGCCCAGAGAGGAAAACUUAUGUUCACACAAAAACCUUGGAAUGAACAUUUAUAGCUGCUUUAUUCAUAAUAGCAAAAAACUGGAAACACACCACAUAUCCUCAAAUGGAUAAAUGGUUGAACAGGUACAUCCAUACCAUGAAAUACACUACUCAGCAGAAAAAAAGGAGGGAGGUGAGAGUAGGGGGAAUGAACUAUUGAUGCGAGCAACAACUUGGAUCAGUAUCCAGAGAAUUAUGUUGAGUCAGAAAAGUCAAUCUCAGAAAGUUGCAUACUGUAUAAUUCCAUUUAUAUUAUAUAACAUUCUUGAAAUACAGUGUUAAAGAAAUGGAGACUAGAUUAGUGUGUUUGCUAGGGGUCAGAGACAGGGGAGAGUGACCAAGGGAGGAGGGUGUGACUAUAGAAGGGCACCAGGGAUCUGGACGGUAUCAAUGUCAGAAGCCUGUCUAUGAUAUUAUAACUUUACAGAAUGUUACCAUUGGAAGAAACAAAGGGCACACAUUCUCUAUGUUUUACAAUUAUGUGUGAAGCUACAAUUACUUCAAAAUUAAAAGUUUAGCUCUUUUCCUUUGGGGUGCCACCGAAGAUCCUGGUGUCACCAUGGGCCACCAUGCAACCCAGUGUUACUGGUAUUGUAAGAGCAUGCCGUAUCCAAAGUCUCAUUUCUGCAGAGGUGUCCCUGCAUCUUUGACCAGAGGCAGAAGAAGGCAAAAAUGGAUGAGUACCUACUAUGUGGCUACAUAGUAUCAGAUGAAUAUGAGCAGCUCUCCUCUGAAGCCCUGGAGGCUACCCAUAUUUGUGCCAACAGGUACAUGGUGAAAAGCUGUAGCAAAGAUGGUUUCACAUCCGGGUGUGGCUCUACCCCUUCCACGUAUCAGUAAGACUGUCAACUGUAUCAACUGUCCUGUGCUGGGGUUGACGGGCUCCAGGCAGAUAGGCAGAGCUCCUUUGGAAAGGCCCAAGGCACAGUGGCCAGGGUCCACAUUGGCCAAAUCAUCAUGUCCAUCCUUACCAAAUUGCAGAGCAAGGAGCAUGUGAUUAAGGCCGCACAAAGGGCCAAGUUCAAGUUCCCUGGCCAUCAGAAGAUCCACAUUUCCAAGAAGUAGGGCUUUAAAGUUUAAUGCGGACGAAUUUGAAGACAUGAUGGCUGAAAAGCAGCUCAUCCCAGACUGCUGUGGGUCAGAUACAUCCCUGAUAGUGGCCCCUUGGACAAAUGGCAGGCUCUGCACUCAGGAGAACCGGCAGUGCCCCCCGCCUUAUUCAUGCCCACCAAUAAAUCCUACUUCCUGUGUUUAAAAAAAAAAAAAAGUUUAAUUUUAAAAAAAGGCCUAAUGAUACCUGCACUUCCUGUACCAGUCAUCGUUAAGUGUGAAGGGAGGUACAACCUGGGCCAGGCUGUGAGUGCCUUGGGUGCACAUGGAAACAGUGAGCCCUAACUAGCCUUAUGUUUAUUUUGACUUAUGUAUUCAGUAUUUCUACUCCACCUUAUUCAAAAAGUAUUUACAGUCAUUUUUAUGUAUUGUUAUCCUUAAUAAUAAGGUUCAUAUACCUAUUUACCAAAUACCUUGUGAGGGUUUUCUUAGUGUUGAUCACACCAUCCAUGCUAGGAAUGAAAAAGGAAAAGUAAGAAGUGUGACAGACGGAGCCCAGCCCCAGCACCUCCGGUUCCUGUGUGCAUAGUAUCAGUCAUGCACUGGGUCUGGAGCUGGAGCUACUAAUUCCGUUCAGGCUUCAAGAGACUGGUAGAGGUUCUGUGCUUGGUUAGCUGAUGGGUGAACUUGGUUUUCAGUGAGACACUUUUUUUUUCACAUUUUGCUAUCCAUUUGGAAUGCAUCUUACAAUGUUGAUUCUUAGUGUAACUGGCAGUGUUUUUCUUUUUAAGAAAAAGUUAUUUUUCUUUCUAAUACAUAAAAUAAUGGUGCUGCUUACACUUAGUGGCUCCUUAGGCUCAGUGAGAUAUAGUAAUCCUGUCUAAAAACAGACUUUCCAGUUUUCAUCUAGAUAUUUUACCAAUCCUAAUUUUAAUAAUUUUAUUAAACAGUUUAGGGGAGAGGCUUUUUUUUUUCUUUAGAGGAACUCCUCUAACAGUUGGAGGGUUUCAUGGUAAAUUCUGUGAUAUUCCAUGGUAGUGUAGUACUUACAUACACCCAAAUAUUGAAACCUCAUUUCCCCUCUUUUUUCUUCUUUGU